AAUCUCCUUCAUAUAUUUGAUUCCCAUCAGCAAGCAAAGGACACUGUAUCUUUUUCUCUUAAAACUAAACACAUAGACCUCUCUCUUGAAACUGAUGCCUUCAACUCAUCACAAAAAAUCCAAAAUCUCACUGCAUCUUUAUUCCUUCACAUAAACAACCGUGACACACUCCAUCUUCCUCUUCUCUUUGCUCUGCCACGCCACCAUCAUCAUCAUGACAUCUCCGCCUCCACUUCACACGAUUUAAACCCAUCAAACCACACUUCAAAAAAC
rnacentral:lncRNA from 1 species